UUCAGUUGAAGAGUUGUUCAGACUCAAUUAUCGGUGGACUUUUUUAAUGGCUAGCUCAGAAUAUGAGCUUUCCAAAAGUUGUUUAUAUAUUAAAUAAGUUCAGUCCUUUCGGGAGCCCAGCAUUUAUUUAAAUGUGAUACACAAUAUUGAAUAACACCACAAACCAGAUAACAAUCUUGAGAAAUGUACAACUUUAUUGAGCUAUAUAUUUUUGAAUACAGAGAAUUAACAUCUUACAACAUUUAUAUAUUCAAGAUACUUUUCCAUACUUAAAUCGUAACAAGUACAGUGCAGUGAAAAAGUAUUAGCCCCUUUUAUGAUUUCUUUACAUUUUUGCAUAUUUUUGAUAUUGAAUGUUAUCAGAUUUUCAACCAAAACCUGUGUACACAAAUAACAAUUUGAUACUUAUUUAAUAAAGUUAUGAAACACUCAAUGCCUCUGUGUAAAAAAAGUAAUUGCCACCGUACACACUCAACAACUGGUUGUGCCACCUUUAGCUGCAAUGAUUGUAACAAAACGCUUCAUGCAGUUGUCAUCAGUCUCUCACAUCGCUGUGGAGCAAUUUUGGCCCACUCUUCCAUGCAGAACUGCUUUAACUCAGCAACAUUUGUGGGUUUUCAAGCAUGAACUGCUCGUUCCAAGUCCUGCCACAACAACUCAAUCAGGAUUAGGUCUGGACUUUGACUCGGCCGUUCCAAAACAUAAAAUGUGUUGCUUUUCAACCAUGUUCAUGUAGACUUGAUUGUGUGUUAUGGAUCAUUGUCUUGCUGCAUGAUCCAGUUGCGCUUCAGCUUACGGAUGGAUGGCCUGACAUUCUCCUGUAGAAUUCUAGAAUUCUCUGAUACAGAGCAUCAUUCCUCUAAUGAUGACAAGUCAUCCAGGUCCUGAGGCAGCAAAGCAUCCCCAAACCAUCACACUACCACCACCACCACCACCACCACGCUUGACCGUUGGUAAGAGGUUCUUACUGUGGAAUGCAGUGUUUGGUUUUCGCCAGACAUAAUGGGACCCAUGUCCUCCAAAAAAGUUGACUCAAGUUUGCCAAAUAAGUACCUGGAGGAUCAUCAAGAUGCUCUACGGACAGAUGACUCAAAAGUAGAACUUUUUGGACGACAUGGGUCCCGUUAUGUCUGCCGAAAACCAAACACUGCAUUCCACAGUAAGAACCUCAUACCAGUGGUCAAGCAUGAUGGUGGUAGUGUGAUGGUUUGGGGAUACUUUGCUGCCUCAGGACCUGGAUGACUUUCCAUCAUUGAAGGAACCAUAAAUUCUGCUCUGUAUCAGGAGAAUGUCAGGCCAGCCUUCCGUGAAUUGAAGCUGAAGCACAGCUGGGUUAUGCAGCAAGACAAUGAUCCAAAAUACACAAAACAAGUCUAGAUCUGAAUAGUUGAAAAGCAACAAAUUUGAAGUUUUAGAAUGUUCUAGUCAAAGUUCAGACCUGAUCCUGAUUGAAAUGUUGUGGCAGGACCUGAAAUGAGCAGUUCAUAUUUGAAAAUCAACAAAUGCCAGAGUUAGAGCAGUUCUCAACGGAGGAGGGGGACAACAUUCCUCCACGGCGAUGUGAGAGACUGAUCAACAACUAUAUGAAGCGUUUGGUUGCAGUCAAUGUAGCUAAAGGAGGCACACCCAGUUAUUGAGUGUAAGAGGGCAAUUACUUUUUUACACAGGGCAUUGGGUGUUGCAUAACUUUGUUUAUUAAAUAAACAAUAUAUGUAAUUGUUGCGUUAUUUCUUCACUCAAGUUUUGGUUGAAGUUCUGGUAACAUUCAAUGUCAAAAAUAGAGAAAAUCAGAAAGGGGCAUAGACUUUCACAGCACUGUAUGUGGACUCAAUAAAGCAAUUUAUAGUUUGCAGUUACUUGGAAGGAAAUGGCUGACUUAAAGACACACAGAGCAAUUUGACAGCUUCUGAGCAAAGUUCGGAAGAAUCAUAUCAUGCAAUAUUGCAGAUAACUUUGGUAUUGGACUGAGGCAAAAGCUGAUGGCAACCAAAAGCAAAGCUCUUUUACAAUACACAUUGAGGCGUGCAUUUAUAGCUGUGUUGUACACAUUUGUUUGUUGAUUAACAGUAUAUCAACCGAUAGAGGACUAUGAAAUAUCUUAAUAAAUCCAGUCAAAAGGUAAUAACAUUUUAAAUGUACAGAUGCGGACAAUAUAGCAUAGCGUUAUAUCACCAAAAUAUGUUUUAUAAAAGGAGAAUUACACAACCAAUGCUGUAAUCAUCUGUUCAAAAUUGUGGUUUGUAAAUGUUUUGCCUUUAAAAUGAAUUCUUCUUUAAUGGGGAAUAUACUAACAGCUCAUAUAACCAAGUUCCUCAGGUUGUGUUAAAUGAAUCAAAAUAAUCUCUCUAGAGUAUUAUGGUCUUAAUCCUCCCAAUUCACUGGGGUGAGCUAGAAUCGUGAUGUGCUGAAGAACAUUAUACGGCCAUUUAAUUGAAGUGAAACUUUGGCUAAAUCAAACCCCAGGAGGACAAUCACAUUCAUAAAAUACUAUUCCGAAAGGCAUUAUUUGUAGAUAAGUGUUUGCAGUACAGUUACAUUAAAAGAUUCAGACACUCAAAAGAGUGGAUAAAUACAGGAGCAAACAUUACAUUGGCCAGUGACUGUCAUGAUGUAGUUGUGAAAAAAUAAAGCAUUUGCGUGAAUGAUUUUGCUUCCAUAAAGCAAAUGUGCCAAGCUCUGUUUUUUGCUGUGUCUAGUCCAUCUGACAAGUCCUGGAAGAUUGUGUAUCACUACCCAGAAGGGAGCGCUCAACUCUCAGCCAGAUAUCUGUGGUAUUUCAGUGUGUCACCGAUAUGAUAACCACAGGUUCAUGAUGGCGUGGUAUUUCAGUGUGUCACCGAUAUAAUAACCACAGGUUCAUGAUGGCGUGGUAUUUCAGUGUGUCACCGAUAUAAUAACCACAGGUUCAUGAUGGCGUGGUAUUUCAGUGUGUCACCGAUAUAAUAACCACAGGUUCAUGAUGGCGUGGUAUUUCAGUGUGUCACCGAUAUAAUAACCACAGGUUCAUGAUGGUGUGAUAUUUCAGUGUGUCACCGAUAUAAUAACCACAGGUUCAUGAUGGUGUGAUAUUUCAGUGUGUCACCGAUAUAAUAACCACAGGUUCAUGAUGGCGUGGUAUUUCAGUGUGUCACCGAUAUAAUAACCACAGGUUCAUGAUGGUGUGAUAUUUCAGUGUGUCACCGAUAUAAUAACCACAGGUACAUGAUGGCAUGGUAUUUCACUUGACAAUUUACACUGUAGUCCUUUCCAAACCGCUGCUCAGAUGGGAAAAAUAAUAACUAUUGCCCCAAUCCAAAGAGCUUUGAAUAUCCAAAUCCAGUUUUUACACACAGUGGACGGAGCCAAUCAAACAAAACAUAUUGAGCAUUUACAUAUUCAUACAAUAUACACACAGAUCUAAAACAUAUUCAGAUGUGCAGCCAUGAAGAACGUGUCAGAGAAAAAUGCCAGUCUAAUGUGUUGGUUGCUCCAUAGGCUACAUUCCAUUUAUAUCUGCAACUUCCUGUAGUGUUAUACCUACUGAAUAUGGACCUGUUUUCCCAACCAACUAUAGGAAAAACAUAUCACAAUGCUGUGUACUGUAGCCUCCGCAUAACAUGCCAUUCCUAAAUGCUAUCAGAGCACCAACUUGUUUGGCAGGCUUCUGCAUCAGACAUUUGCCAAAUGUAUUGCUUGUGUUUGUUUAGAUUCCUUUUCAAAUGGUAUGUUUUACAGUACAGUACCUACAUAUGUACACACACACACACACACACCAGUUUACAGUACAUGUUCAUACCUUUUCAACCUCAUCAACACAUCACAUGCCCAUUAGAUAUGCUGGGCUGUAUGGUAAAGCUGCUUCAAAACCAAGUCUCAUUGCAUUGUCCAAUCUGUAAUCCAACUCUCCUUGACAACUGAAGAACAUCGUCUUAACCUCGGCACAUACACUACACCUUAGAAUUGAACUUGUUUUGCUUUAUAAAGAAAUGUCAAACAGUUUUAUCAAUACUGAAAAUUACAAGAAGUUUCUUGUUUCUUGGCUCAAUAAAAAAAACAAAGCGCUUUGUCAACAGUGAUAUCAAAAUCUCACUAUUUGAAUCCAAUUGUAAAAGUGACAAUGGGCAAUAAAACAGUCUCCAGUAUUUUUUUUGGUUCUACUUAAAGUUGUGACUUCAUUGUUUUUGUGUUAGAUAUAAAGUAUUCAAUCCACUGGUAAAUUUGGACAGGGAUCACGUACUGUACAACUUGUUAUUGCGUAGUACAACAGUUAUUGCGAAAUAUAAAAUGGGACAAGUGGCGACUUCACGACCAACCUAUUAGCCCUUCCAUGGCAACAUAUCCAUGCUUCUUCUGACAACGUAUAUGGAAGAGCCCCUUUCACCAUCAGAGAAAACAAAUGAUAAACAUAAAAUCCAAAUAUCUACACUGAUUAUGUAUUCUAUGAUCAAAUAAACCUUUUCUCAUUAAAAGAAUAAGAACACAAUAACAAUAUAAUCAAUGAUCAUCGUAAGAAAACUAUAUUCUUAUCUUCAAAAUGACAUAAUGAGAAGAGUAUCCUCAUCUCAUUGCACAGUCCUCUGCUCGGUUCCGUAAAAUAAUCUAAGGUUAUUUACAACAUACCAUAUUCUUUUUCCACAAUAUAACAUUGCCGUGCUUCACGACACAUAUCCUCUGCUCUGACUCUCUCACUCUGGCUCUCUCAUACACACACACACACACAGACAGCACACGCUCACUCAUUCACACUUACUAAGUUCACAACAUCUCGCUGCUAGGAUCACACCCCAACCCACCAAACUAACCCAAUGGUUGAGAUGGUGAGAAUUCAUAACCAACUGCAUUUCUCUCCAAGUUACCGCCUCAAUCCAAAAAUGUAUACUUUGGUUAUUUGAGGUUUGAAACACAUCAUCUAUCCCCAUUCAAAACGACGAGCCAGACAUUUCAGAUGACAGUUUUAUGCAUGUUCACUUUGGUUUUCACAGAUUCCACAUACUGAAGUGCUUUAGAACAGUGGUUCCCAACCAGGGGAACUUGGCCUAUCCACAGGGGGUACUUGAGAAGACUCAUGAGACCAUAGGCCUACUGGUAAAAUGUACAUGGGUAAAAGGUUGGGAACCACUGCUUUAGAACAACAGCCGUGGUUAAUAGGUGGGCUAACUACAUCAGCAGGCGGUGUAAAAGUAGUGACACUGUGUCUGGUGCACUCUCUCACUCUCCUCAGAAUGAUGACCACACAUCACCCUGUACAUAGUGGGGAAAUUUGCAGACCGUCUCUUUCACUCCAAACAGGUAGAUGUGUAAACACAAUUACAUUAUACCCAACAAUACUGUACCCUGUGCCCUAAAGAGUCAUUAAACCUAUCAGGGUUGUGAUGUUUCACUGUGGAAGCUCAAUUUGUAUUGGAUGCAUGUCUAUAUAAUCAAUAAAGAGAACGCCAUCUCCAGGUUUUUGGUACAACGGUUCCCCAAAUUCCAGAAUUCCUGCAAGAAUGAGGAGAAUUCCUGUAAGUGCUAUGGAUUCCUCAGAGAACUGCAAAACGUUGUGUGAAAAUAGAACAGAAGUGCUGUUCUUUCAAACCAUUGUACCAUAUCAGCCAAGCACAGCAUUAUGAAAAUAAAUAAAUAAAUACAACAUGAGGAUUUCCCCCAAAUGCCACCAUGACACUGUUGGGAUUAAUCUACCUGGUACUAAACUAAUAUCCCCCUUCAAUGAUUACGGAGAUGGGAGGGAUAGACUGUAAUACCUUGGAUUGAUGGAAAUGGGAGGGAUAGACUGUAAUACCUUGCUGUGGUAGAAAUGGGAGGGAUAGACUGUAAUACCUUGGAUUGAUGGAAAUGGGAGGGAUAGACUGUAAUACCUUGGAGUGGUGGAAAUGGGAGGGAUAGACUGUAAUACCUUG
ensembl:lncRNA